ensembl:snRNA U1 U1 spliceosomal RNA
AUACUUACCUGGCAGGGGAGAUACCAUGAUCACGAAGGUUUUUUUCCCAGGGUGAGGCUUAUCCAUUGCACUCCAGAUGUGCUAACUUCUGUGAUUCCCCAAAUGUGGGAAACUCGACUGCAUAAUUUGUGGUAGUGGGGGACUGCGUUUGCGCUUUCCCCUA